CUGGGUAAUUCCCCAAUAUGUAUGUACAAUAUUAUACAUAAUGAGUAACACUGUUGAAUUCCACUCCACUGUGAGUCUGGAAACAGCGUGAUAAGGUUGCAACUACAAGAUAUAUUAAUAUUUAAAGCUUUAUUCAUCUUUAUCAUGGAUAUAAAUACUCCCUACAAAGGCAAAUCGAGGUGCUUUGGUGAGUACCGAUGUCCACAGUGCACCCGUAGAUGGAUGAGCAGCAACUCGUGGGCUGGCUACGGACAGGAAUGCCAGUCUUGCAAAAUCAAUGUGUUUCCACACAAACAGACGCCUCUUCAAAAACCGAAGGAAUUGGAUGUUGGAGACAACAAGAAGCCACAUCCGCAGCAUCUCUGUCAGAAAUGUAAGGCGUUGGGAUACUAUUGCCGGCAAACAUUAUAGAUAAUCUUACCGUUACAACUAGCUACUGUUUUCACAUGCUUUGUGUAUCAUAUAUAUAGGCUUUUUUUCUAGAUGAUGUUUUGAAAUAUAAAAAAAUAUCUAUUUUGUGCUUAAUAUUUUGCAUAAUUUACUUAUGUAUGUUAAAUAUAACUAUAAGUCUCGGUAACAAUGACUAAGACUACAUGAAUAUUGAUUUUGUCUUAGUAUAAUAAUGGAUAUUUAAUGUUUGAUAAUUUCUUGUUCAAUUAUUGAAAUUUUAAACCUGUUACCUUGAAUAUUAUAUUCUUGUUACUUAGUUAUUGUUGAAAUUAUAUUUUAUUUUAAAGGAUCGAAAUAUUAUCUGUGAGAUACUCCUAUUUUUAUAAUAUAAUUACUUGUUGUAAUGUUGCAUAAUGAGUCUCCAGUAUACCUCUCCUCCAAAACUGGAAACUUUAACAUGGGGCGAAAUAAAUUCCUGCAAAUGGUUCAUUUUGUUGUCCUUAAACAGUACAAUUGUUAGAGAUCAAAAGAUCAAUAAAAAAAAAAUCUUCAAA